rnacentral:rRNA from 1 species
UACGUAGGGUGCGAGCGUUUGUCCGGAAUUAUUUGGGCGUAAAGGGCUCGUAGGCGGUUUGUCGCGUCGGGAGUGAAAUCCACUGGCUUAACUGGUGGCUUGCUUUCGAUACGGGCAGACUGGAGGUAUGCAGGGGAGAACGGAAUUCCUGGUGUAGCGGUGAAAUGCGCAGAUAUCAGGAGGAACACCGGUGGCGAAGGCGGUUCUCUGGACCAUUACUGACGCUGAGGCACGAAAGCUAGGGGAGCAAACAGG